CCUCACUUACCAUGUGGCCCAGGUGUUUCGCCCCAGCCGCAGCCGCAGCACACAACGCACUCAUCAACCAGAGCAGCCACUCGAGUCGGCUCGAUCCCCAAUCCCCUCUCCUCUUUUUCUCUUCCCCACGCCGCCUCUCCCCCUCCGCAUCCGGCGCGGCGACCGGCAGAGGAGCCGGAGGAGGCGGCGGUUGCUCGGCCCCCUGCCCGCGGAGACGUAGACGACAACGGCGCCGAGGACGACGGUGACAGUGAGUCAGUGACAAGGCGGUGAGGCGUGGUGCGGGCCGACGAUGGCAUCGACCCCGCCGCCGCGAGAUCUCACGCGCCUCGACCCCGCCGCCCCGCCCACGCGAGAUCUCGCCGGUCUCGCCCUCGCCGCCGAAAGAUCUCGCCGGCCCCGCCCUCGCCACGGCUCUCACGCGGCCACGCCGUCAGGCCAGUCGCCUGACCGGCGCAGUUCAUCGUCAUCCGCCUGUAAAGAUUUCCUCCGCAAGUUUGUGGACAGCGAGCUUCUCACUGCAAGCCUAGAGGAUUGGUUUUCUGGGGACAGCGAGGACUGCGGUUUCCGGAAGCCGGCUUUCGAUGUUCCUUUUGACCUUGCGGAGCUGCAGAAUUUUGACUAUGCUUUGGAAGGUGUUACUUUUCAGCAGCUAGUGCGGAUGCCCAACGCUCUUCAUGCAUCCACAUCGGAUGUUUUUGAAGCUACCGCGCAUCUUGCCCUGGAGGAUUUUCUGCACGCUGGCAUCAAGGGGCUGUGGGAAGCUUUCUGGGGUCCUGAGGAAGCUAUGCCUUUCUCUGUUGCUUGCAUACACAGCACGAGCUCCAGAUUUUACCCUGCCGAGAAGGCUAUUGGCAGCGGAAAACUCGAUGGUGUCUGUGCGACAGCUGUGCUGCUCAAGAAUUCAAAGCAUUCACAAGGGAGGUGGGAUCAUAUUGUUGUGUUGGCUUUGUUGAGACCUGAUAUUGGAAUGGUUUCUGCGCAGAGUGACCAGCAUCUGUCCCCUGCUGUCCUGGGGGAGGCGCUAUUCUUUGCACUUCGUGUAUUGCUUUCUCGGAGCCUCAGCAGGUCCUCCACUGUCCUUCGAAAUUCAGAUUCUGUUUAUGUGCUCCUCGUAGAUUCACAGUUUGGAGGGGUGGUCAAUGUCCAAGGCGAUCUGAACAAGCUAAAUUUUGAUUUGAACAAUGUUUAUGAGUGUGCUGCUGAAUGGAUAAAAAAGGAUGCCAAAAUUACAGUUUCUUCCGUUGACCGGGUAUGGAAUAAACUUGGGAAUGCUAACUGGGGAGACAUUGGGACCCUUCAAGUUCUCCUUGCAGUUUACCACUCAAUGGUCCAAUUCUGCGGAGCACCAAAGUAUUCUCUCGAUGAACUGGCCACGGAGCAUAGUUCCCGGUUACAGAGUCGAAGAUCGGAGAGACACUUGGUCGACAGACAAUCCAAUGGAAACGGUCUGUUUCGGUUCCAGCAGCGAAGUCAUUCUCCUGAAAUUGUUGAAGUGCAGGAGGAAGGCACUGUAGAUGUAAAACCAGAUGAAAUCUUGAAGCUUGAGAUUGGGUCCAUUGUCUUCAUGGAAGAUUCUAACUGCCAGAAGGGUUUUCAAAUCAAUGAUAUUCGAACAGAAAGUGAGCCUCCUAUUUAUGGUGCUGUUCCUGUGGAAGAGCCUACCAAAUCCUAUUUGCUGUAUGUAGGUUCCAGUCCUUCUCAUCUGGAGCCAGCAUGGGAGGAUAUGAAUUCCUGGUACCAAGUUCAAAGACAGACGAAAGUACUGACCUUGAUGAAGCAAAGGGACAUUUCUAGCAGAUACAUACCACAGAUGGUAGCUUCUGGACGUGUAGGCCAUCCAGGCCUGUGCAACAAGCCGAACUCCAGUGGGAGUUGUGGUCAUCCACUGUGCAGCACUCCAAUCCUUGUCACCUCACCAGUUGGGGAGACCAUUUCAAAUCUGAUACGGAAUGGAUUGUUUGGUGUUGAGGAGGCUCUGAGAUGUUGCCAUGACUGUUUAUCUGCUCUUGCUGCUGCAUCAUCUGCGGGAAUCCGUCACGGUGAUAUCCGGCCAGAAAAUGUGAUCCGUGUCAGCAAUGGUUCAAGGCAACCACAUUUUGUACUUAUUGGAUGGGGUCAUGCUAUCCUAGAAGAUAGGGAUCGACCUUUGAUGAAUCUAUUCUUUUCAUCUACUUUUGCUCUUCAGGAAGGGAAGCUAUGUGCCGCAUCUGAUGCUGAAAGUUUAAUAUACCUUUUAUAUUUCUCGUGUGGUGGAGUCUGCCCAGAGCUUGACUCGGUUGAAGGUGCACUUCAAUGGAGAGAGGCAUCAUGGUCAAGGAGAGUUAUACAACAGAAGCUGGGUGAUGUUGCAGCAGUUUUGAAAGCAUUUGCAGAUUAUGUUGACAGCCUUUGUGGGACCCCGUACCCAAUGGACUAUGAAAUAUGGUUACGAAGGUUCCGAAGAACAAUAAAUGAAGAUCAUGGGAAGGAGGUUGACACAUCAAGUUAGUACUGCAGCACAUGCUCUUACAAAAUUGCAACAUGGAAGAUGAAAGAACAGUGUUUCAUACCUUGUAUUGUUGUUGUAGAUAAUUUAUCUGUAGAGUUGUAGGUCUUGUGAAAGGUCCAUAUAGCUCAUAGUACCCUUGUCGGCCUUGAUCCAUUUCACCUGAUGGGUACUUGAAAACGUCCAAUCUGGCGACCUGCUGCCGAUCUCAACUUGGAUUUCUGACUGUAUUACCCUCCCAAGAAUGCAGUAGAGAUCCUCGAGGAUAUCUGCAACAGGAUGUGUUCUGGAAAUGCUCUUCUCCAAGGUGGUGAGCUGCGCUUUGGCUGAUCUCCUCGGUCAUCUUGAUCAGUGCCUUGAAAUGUUGAAUUAUAAGUGGUAGGCAAAUGUGGAUCUCAAAGUGUGUGGUAUAGUCGGCAAAUUUUUGCUCACUUUUCUUUUUAAAAUUGCACCAGAAUGGAUUUGUGAAUUGUGAUUAGAGGUGGUGAGGCAUAGUUAGCAGCAUUUUGUUCUGACUAAAUUAUUCUUUUGGUGAGAGGGUGCAGUGGUCAGGUGCACCUAAGUUCUUGUAAAUGCUGGUCAUGGUUCAGCUGUUCAAAUUCCUGUCCUGCAAUUGCUGGGUGUUGAUUUGUGCGUUAACUCUGACUUGGCCCGUGCGUGGAG
rnacentral:rRNA from 1 species